UUCGACCACCUCCGUACACACACGACCUCCACCAGCCGCACACCCAACCCCUAACACCGGCAGCCGCACCUUCUUCUUCACCUCACUGCCGCCGCACCGCCGCCGGAGAAAUCACCAGGCUCACCCCCUAAACUUCUACAACCUAACACCCCCUCAUUUCCUUCACCCUAAGGAACAACGGCCAACCCUAGAGAGCAGUAGACCCUCAUCCAUCCUCCUCCUCACUGUCGCCGCACUUCCGCCGCCGUCAGACCCUCUUAUCGCACCACCACCUCCUUCCACCGUUCAACCAGAUUUUUAUCCUUUCAUCUUUAAUUUUCAGUUUAUUUUCAAAUUCAAAAACAUAUACAAAAAAAUGGUUCUGUGGUUUGGUUAAAUUUUGAUCAAAGUUUCAAAAAGAAAAAAUCAAAAAAAUACAAACAAAAAGAAAUACAUUGCUGCCUCUUUCUUCUAUUUUCGAUUUAGUAUUCAAAAAAUGGAAGUCGAUUGAGCUUGAGGGUGAUUCGAAUUUGUUGUUGGAUUCGCUUGGAUUCACCGUUCGAGGUUCGGGUUGAGUUCCUAUUUGCCGAUUUCAUUUUCGGUCAUAGGUCGCUGAUAAUGUUCAAUUCUGGGUUUAUUGUCCCUAUUGAUGUCCUUGUUUGCCUUUUCAAUUCUCUAAUUAAGUGUUAUUAUUUUGCGGAGUUAAUUUUGGCCGAAACAGAGCAAGGACUUUGGCUCCACACUCGAGGUAUGGAUCUAUUUGCCGGAACUUGAGCAUGACAGAUACCCCAGGACCAUCGCAUUUGGGAGCUUGUUUGAAGAGAUUUUUUAUAUUUUGAGUCUAUUUUCAUGUUUACUUUUACUUUCUUAUCUUGUCUAGUAGUUUUGAGUCUUUUAGGUGGCGUAAGAGUUUGCCGAGUCUUUUGUCAUCGUACUUCUCAUUUGUAUUUGAAAAACAAUAGUUAUAAAUGAAAAUCCAAAAGAUUCUUGUUUUUUAGUU